rnacentral:rRNA from 1 species
CAAUAGCGUAUAUUAAAGUUGUUGCAGUUAAAAAGCUCGUAGUUGGAUCUCGGGACGGGCCAGUUGGUCCGCCGCAAGGUGUGUUACUGACUGGUCUGUUCUUCUUCGCAAAGACUGCGUGUGCUCUUCGUUGAGUGUGCGUAGGAUUUACGACGUUUACUUUGAAAAAAUUAGAGUGUUCAAAGCAGGCUAUCGCUUGAAUACAUGAGCAUGGAAUAAUGGAAUAGGACUUUGGUCCUAUUUUGUUGGUUUCUAGGACCGAAGUAAUGAUUAAGAGGGACAAUUGGGGGCAUCCGUAUUUCGUUGUCAGAGGUGAAAUUCUUGGAUUUACGAAAGACGAACAACUGCGAAAGCACUUGCCAAGAGUGUUUUCAUUAA